AAUGGCUGACUAGGACUUCGCGGGCGAUAACGAGGAAGCCGGGGAGGGGGAGGAAGAGGCGAUGAGUAGCAGGGACCAAUCGCUUUCAAAACAGUUUCUAUUUUGCUUCUUGUGGGCUUGGUCGGCAGCAGAUACUUGUUCCUGCAGAACCUGGCGCUGGAUUGAUUCUCCCAGAAGAGGAAUCUUGGGACGUUGAUGCUAUGGCAAAAACUGAUGUGGUGAUUUUUUUUCUGGCAAAAGCACAGAAUUGAUGCUUCAGACUCUGAAGAGGCUUUCGUUUCAUUAGGAAUAAAAUGAGUCACGAAGACAAAACAGGGAAGUGGAAAACAUAUUAAGUGCAGCUUGGCUGGACAAAGUAUCCGAUUAAAGCACGCAAUUAAGUAGUAUUUAAAAAGGGUGUUUUCUCACCACAUCACCUAGCCAUACUGUGCUUGAAUCUGCAAUCCAGUGAUCUGCUUUCAACAUAUCUCAAGAAAUUGCAAAACUCAGUGUAACUAGAGCUGAGUAGCAUUUACUGUGAGGUCUCUGGAUCUUCCUGGGAGAAAGAAAAGAUGGGUUUCUCUGAAAUUGAAAAGACAGGGCAAAAGCUCCCUUUGAAUCCAGAUGCAGCAGAGAAUGGGGAAUGUAGUGGAAUCACAAGUAAUGGAAGCACCAAACAAGCAAGAGAAGUCUUCUCUCCGAAACCAGGCCAUUUUCCAUAUGGUUUGUGCAAUAAUG